AGUACAAAUUGGCCAUACUCUGUAAGGGGUAUGAAAAAUGACAUUCUAAGUGAGUUAGGAUGCCACGACAAUUGUAGAACACACAGUGUUUCACAAGUAAUCAAUGAAAAUUUCUGA
rnacentral:rRNA from 1 species